rnacentral:tRNA from 1 species
GGGCCGUUAGCUUAGUUGGUAGAGCACUACGCUGGCAGCGUAGGGGUCGCGGGUUCGAAUCCCGCACGGUCCA